GAAUCUUCCGCAAUGGACGAAAGUCUGACGGAGCAACGCCGCGUGAGUGAUGAAGGUUUUGUGAGCGUAAAACUCUGUUGUUAGGGAAGAACAAGUACCGUUCGAACAGGGCGGUACCUUGACGGUACCUAACCAGAAAGCCACGGCUAACUACGUGCGAGCAGCCGCGGUAACACGUAGGUGGCAAGCGUUGUCCGGAAUUAUUGGGCGUAAAGCGCGCGCAGGCGGUUUCUUAAGUCUGAUGUGAAAGCCCCCGGCUCAACCGGGGAGGGUCAUUGGAAACUGGGGAACUUAAGUGCAGAAGAGGAGAGUGGAAUUCCACGUGUAGCGGUGAAAUGCGUAGAGAUGUGGAGGAACACCAGUGGCGAAGGCGACUCUCUGGUCUGUAACUGACGCUGAGGCGCGAAAGCGUGGGGAGCGAACAG
rnacentral:rRNA from 1 species